rnacentral:rRNA from 1 species
AUGAAGGCAACUAUGAAACCUCAAUAUGUUGACAAUAUUCGAAAAUCUGUUAAAGGGAAGGUUGGGGACCUUCUUAACACGGUAGAUGAGAGACAAGUGAAGGACACGUUAUGUGAUUUUCUUGAACUGAAUAAAGUUAUGGACCGAGACGUCUCAGGUUUAUCUGGUGGUGAGCUGCAAAGAUUUGCUAUUGCUGCUCGUGCCAUGAAGGAGGCAGACAUUUAUAUAUUUGAUGAACCAUCCUGCUAUCUCGACGUGAAACAAAGGUUGAAAGCUGCACAAGCUAUCCGUUCAUUGCUUCAACCCAAAAGUUAUGUAAUUGUUGUGGAGCAUGAUCUUAGCAUUCUCGACUACUUAUCAGACUACAUAUGCUGUCUUUAUGGGACUCCAGGAGCAUAUGGUGUUGUUACUUUACCCUCUUCAGUCAGAGAAGGAAUUAACAUUUUCCUAAAUGGCUUCAUACCAACAGAAAAUUUGCGUUUCCGUGAGGAGAAACUCACAUUUCGAGUCACCGAGUCUACCGAGGAGAAAACAGAGGGUCAGAUACACCAAUGCUACAACUAUCCUGCCAUGAUCAAAACAAGACGUGGCUUCAAGCUUUCGGUCACAGAAGGUAGCUUUAAUGGUUCCCAAAUAAUUGUCAUGCUUCGUGAGAAUGGUACCGGGAAGACAACAUUUAUUCGUAUGCUGGCGGGGGAAUUGAAACCAGACGAAGUAAGUGAUGAGCAAGUUGACAUGCCUGCAUAUACUGUCUCAUACAAGCGUCAGGAAUUGGUCUCCAAAUAUAGCUCUACAGUAUCAGUGAGGGACCUUCUGCACGAGAAAAUACCUGGAUCAUGCACGCAAGCUCAGUUCAGAUCUGAUGUCAUGAAACCAAUGAAAAUUGAGGAACUCAUGGACAGGCAGGUUGCAAAUCUUUCUGGUGGAGAGCUGCAAAGGGUUAAACUCUGUAUUUGCCUCGGAAAGCCUGCUGAUAUUUACCUGAUAGAUGAACCAAGUGCUCAUCUUGAUUCAGAGCAGCGCCUUAUUGCAGCAAAGGUGAUAAAAAGGUUUAUCCUUCACCAAAAGAAAACGGCUUUCAUCGUCGAGCAUGAUUUAAUCAUGGCAGCCUACCUGGCCGAUAAGGUACUCGUUUUCGAGGGAAGACCUUCGGUUGAAUGUACUGCAAGUGCACCAGAGUUUCUGGCAUCUGGAAUGAACCGUUUUCUGUCACAUCUAGAUGUCACUUUUAGGACCGAUCCGACGACCCACAGGCCUCGGAUUAACAAGCUGGGCUCUGUGAAGGACACUGAGCAGAAAGCUGCAGGGUGCUACUACUACCUUGACGAUUAA